UGGGGAAUAUUGCACAAUGGGCGCAAGCCUGAUGCAGCCAUGCCGCGUGUGUGAAGAAGGCCUUCGGGUUGUAGAGCACUUUCAGCGGGGAGGAAGGCGAUAAGGUUAAUAACCUCAUCGAUUGACGUUACCCGCAGAAGAAGCACCGGCUAACUCCGUGCCAGCAGCCGCGGUAAUACGGAGGGUGCAAGCGUUAAUCGGAAUUACUGGGCGUAAAGCGCACGCAGGCGGUCUGUCAAGUCGGAUGUGAAAUCCCCGGGCUCAACCUGGGAACUGCAUUCGAAACUGGCAGGCUAGAGUCUUGUAGAGGGGGGUAGAAUUCCAGGUGUAGCGGUGAAAUGCGUAGAGAUCUGGAGGAAUACCGGUGGCGAAGGCGGCCCCCUGGACAAAGACUGACGCUCAGGUGCGAAAGCGUGGGGAGCAAACAGG
rnacentral:rRNA from 1 species